GACCCAGACUCCUACGGGAGGCAGCAGUGGGGAAUAGUGCACAAUGGGGGAAACCCUGAUGCAGCGACGCCGCGUGAGCGAAGAAGUACCUCGGUAUGUAAAGCUCUAUCAGCAGGGAAGAAGAUGACGGUACCUGACCAAGAAGCUCCGGCUAAAUACGUGCCAGCAGCCGCGGUAAUACGUAUGGAGCAAGCGUUAUCCGGAUUUACUGGGCGUAAAGGGAGCGUAGACGGCGAUGCAAGUCUGAAGUGAAAGGCGGGGGCCCAACCCCCGGACUGCUUUGGAAACUGUAUGGCUGGAGUGCAGGAGAGGUAAGUGGAAUUCCUAGUGUAGCGGUGAAAUGCGUAGAUAUUAGGAGGAACACCAGUGGUGAAGGCGGCUUACUGGACUGUAACUGACGUUGAGGCUCGAAAGCGUGGGGAGCAAACAGGGUUAGAUACCCCCGUACAC
rnacentral:rRNA from 1 species